rnacentral:rRNA from 1 species
AUUGAACGCUGGCGGCAUGCCUUACACAUGCAAGUCGAACGGCAGCGCGGACUUCGGUCUGGCGGCGAGUGGCGAACGGGUGAGUAAUACAUCGGAACGUACCCUGUUGUGGGGGAUAACUAGUCGAAAGAUUAGCUAAUACCGCAUACGACCUGAGGGUGAAAGUGGGGGACCGCAAGGCCUCACGCAGCAGGAGCGGCCGAUGUCUGAUUAGCUAGUUGGUGGGGUAAAGGCCCACCAAGGCGACGAUCAGUAGCUGGUCUGAGAGGACGAUCAGCCAGACUGGGACGGGGACACGGCCCAGACUCCUAAGGGAGGCAGCAGUGGGGAAUUUUGGACAAUGGGGGCAACCCUGAUCCAGCAUUGCCGCGUGUGGGAAGAAGGCCUUCGGGUUGUAAAGCACUUUUGUCCGGAAAGAAAACGCGCUGGUUAAUACCUGGCGUGGAUGACGGUACCGGAAGAAUAAGCACCGGCUAACUACGUGCCAGCCGCCGCCGUAA